CUGGCUCAGGAUGAACGCUGGCGGCGUGCUUAACACAUGCAAGUCGAACGGGCUUAGAUCGGAAGCUUGCUUUGAUUAAGUAGUGGCGGACGGGUGAGUAACGCGUGGGUAACCUACCCGUGUGCAGGGGGGAUAGCAGCUGGAAACGGCUGAGUAAAACCGCAUGACACGGCGAUGCCGCAUGGCAAUGCCGUCAAAUAUUUAUAGGCACGAGGAUGGGCCCGCGUCUGAUUAGCUAGUUGGCGGGGCAACGGCCCACCAAGGCGACGAUCAGUAGCCGGCCUGAGAGGGUGAACGGCCACAUUGGGACUGAGACACGGCUCAAACUCCUACGGGAGGCAGCAGUGGGGAAUAUUGGACAAUGGGGGAAACCCUGAUCCAGCCGACGCCGCGUGAGUGAAGAAGUAUUUCGGUAUGUAAAGCUCUAUCAGCAGGGAAGAUGAUGACGGUACCUGACUAAGAAGCACCGGCUAAAUACGUGCCAGCCGCCGC
rnacentral:rRNA from 1 species